AUAAAGUUAACGGGUCUUCACUUAAAUAAAAAACCCUCAUGGUCUAUAUUUCUUUUUUUUCGUGAUGGUUUUUGUUUUAACUUUUUUAUUUAAUGUUUCAACUUCCCCUUUAAGAACUGUCUUUUGGGCAAGUCAAAUGUUUGUGUACUGCCCCUUUAAGAAGCACUCUAGCACGGAACGCUCAGAGCGCGAGCCGCAGCAGUUGGCCGUUGAUUCAGCGGGUCAGAUAUUUGUACGACAUUUUGUAUUUUGUCGGACGGAUUAAAAGUUCAAAAAAGGGCAUUCCCUGUUGGGCCAAUCAGGAUGGAGCAUCCCAUCCGCCUCCAAUCAGAGCACACUGUCCCAUCAUUCUCGGAUGGUUGCUAUCAUGCCCGGUGUUGCUCCGUAAAGGCUCUAAGAUCGAAGUAGGCUGUCUGGAGUGAAGGAUUUCAGUACGGAGAAACUCACAAAUAAAGGAGCAGCGUUUCUGGCCGUCGUCAGGUAGAGGUUGGAGUGGCAACGUCUCCCCGUUUCCCCAGCUGUGAGAAGCAAGAGGAGGACAUUGUGUUUCCGGGUCUUUCAAUUCGCGAGUCCCUGGUGAAGCUGCGGGAUCAGCUCAGCGUCCUUCUAGAUCAGUAACCGGAGGUCGAUCCAGCAAAGAGCUACAGCUGUGGUACACACGCACACACACAUACACAAUUCACCACAGAAAAAAACAGCAAGUUUCUGGUAGAACUUUUCAUUAAUGUUCUCGUAACCCUUCCUCUCUCCUUAGCUUGUUUACAUUAAAAGUGGGGUCAUCUUGACCCCACAAGACAGUGCGCUGAACUUUUUUUCUAUCAUUGAUUUUUGAGUUUCGCUAAUGUCCAUGGCAGACAUAAAAUCCUGUCCACCUUUGUCAACUCCUCAUGAGCAAACUGCUCCAGUUGUCUCAGGUUUGAUGGGUGUAUUCUCCAAAUGGCAUGUUUCAGCUCCUUCCACAGAUGUUCAAUGGGAUUCAGAUCUGGGCUCAUGGAAGGCCACUUUAGAACAGUCCAACGCUUUUCUCUCAGCCAUUCUUGGGUGUUUUUGGCUGUGUUUUGGAUCGUUGUCCUGUUGGAAGACCCAUGAUCUGCGAUUGAGACCAAGCUUUCUGACACUAGACAGCACAUUUCUCUCCAGAAUGCCUUGAUAGUCUUCAGAUUUCAUUCUACCUUGCACACAUUCAAGACACCCUGUGCCAGAUGCAGCAAAGCAGCCCCAAAACAUUACUGAGCUUCCUCCAUGUUUCACCGUAGGGACAGUGUUCUUUUCUUUGUAUGCCUGGUUUUUGAGUCUAUGGACAUAGAGUUGAUGUGCCUUACCAAAAAGCUCCAGUUUGGUCUCAUCUGUCCAAAGGACAUUCCGCCAGAAGCUUUGUGGCUUGUCAACAUGCAUUUUUGCAAAUUCCAGUCUCGCUUUUUUCUGAUUUCUUUUCAGCAGUGAUGUCCUCUUUGGAAGUCUCCCAUAAAGUCCACUUUGGCUCAAACAACGACGAAUGGUGCGAUCUGACACUGAUGUACCUUGGCCUUGGAGUUCACCUUUAAUUUCUUUGGAGGUUGUUCCGUCUCUUCAAUUUGUCAUCAAUUUUCAUCUUGUGGCCAAGUCCAGGGAAGUUGGCUACUGUCCUGUGGGUCUUGAACUUCUGAAUAAUAUGAGCCAAUGUUGUCACAGGAACUUCAAGCUGUCUAGAGAUGGUCUUAUAGCCUUUACCUUUAAGAUGUUUGUCAUUUUUUUUCGGAUGUCCUGUGUUAUUGUUUUAGCCUGUGUCCCCACCCCCUUGCAUUAUGUUUGUAUUGUAAAGAACUGCGGUUGCUAUGGAUGCGGAAGUUGAGCACUGUGCGCGCUGGGUGAUGACGUCAAUAUAUAGUGAGUUUGCGGCGUUCGCGCCGAGUCCCGUUCGAUACUGGAAGCUGUGAGGAUAAAAGGCAGAGAGUUCAGACGUUUUAGGCUGUAAUGAAUGCUGUGUGCAAGAGGAAAUAAAGAGGCUAUCAGCCCUGUUCAAGAACAACGGUGUCCCUUUCAUUCUGUUACCACUCGCGGGCCAGUCAGGUCCAGACCGGCAAUAACAGUGGCGUCCGACCACGGUCCGAAGCCAGAAGCUGAACGGUAACACUGGGGGCUUGUCCGGGAUACACUUUGUUGUGCACCAGGGCUGAAGAAAGAAGAGGAAUUAAAUUGCGUGCCGCGCACUACGCCUGAGAGCGGAAAAUGGCAGCGCGCAGUCAAAACGCAGUAGCGGGUGGAGUCCGGCCACGCACGAGGAACUCAGCCAUGAAUGUAAGCACGAAAUCCUUUUCUGCAAUAUGUAGCUGGAGCGGACUGUGAUCAGAACGUUCAUGCACUGAAGGAUACAAACAAGGGAGAAACGGAUUGUUUUGUCACAAGCAUGGAGCUAAUGUUAGCUGAAUGUGAGCGGGCAUGCCGAGCCCUGAUGAAACAACACGUGGUGGCGGAGGAGCUCUACCCAAUGCCUCCCAUUUCCACCAACCCCUUCAUAACACUUACCAACAAGCAAGAUCACGUGGCUAGUGAGUGCACAGCUUGUUUUCAUCCUCAAAUGAACAACCAUGAGCCCAUGAUGUCCACCCCAGCUAAACCACCUUUUGCUAAUUUAUCCACCCCCACUGCUACAUCCUGGCUUGCUAAUUCCCACAUAUAUCCACCUCAUGACUGGCAUGCUAGGAGCAAUCCUCCAGUUGUCAUAGGACCCCCAUCACCUGGCGUAACGCUGCCACCCUGCACCACCCAGAAAAAUAGGUUUCUUCCAUCCAAUGUUCACGUUUCACCCCAAGAUGUAACCAGGUCAUCAAAUAACUGGGCAGAACUGUGUCAGAACACUCAUGUGAAAUUCCUGUCACCACCCCAAAGCUUCCAUUCACCUGGUGUCCAACAUAAUUCUGUUCUGUAUGAUGAUGGGGCAAAACACCCUGUGGAGAGUGAGCGAAUUCCAAUACUGCAGCCAGAGCACUUCGAUGGAUCAUGAUCAUGGAGAGAUUUUCUUUAUCAUUUUGAGAGGUGUGCAGAAGCUAAUCAUUGGACUGAGAAAACCAAAGUCGUUCAGCUCAAAUUUUGCCUGGUCGGUGCUGUUGGAGCUAUCAUCCACAAAAAACCCAAGUUCGGAAGGUCGGCCUCGUGGAGUUUCCAAAGAAUUGUGGAGGAAAUUGAGGCUGCUUAUGGGUCCAGUUCUGAACAUGCUGCAGCUAUCGGCAUCGAGCUAUGUCAGCGAGUCAGAAGACCAGGUGAAGCUUUGCACACUCCCAGAGAACCAGGGCACCAUCCAGACUCAGGUACACCCGGGAAUGAGCUUCAUUUCUGGGCUAGACUUCCAGAGAACCAGGCCACCAUCCAGCCUCAGCUACACCCAGAAAUCAGCUUCAUUUCUGGGCUAGAUUUCCAGAGAACCAGGCCACCAUCCAGCCUCAGUGACACCCAGAAAUCAGCUUCAUUUCUGGGCUAGACUUCCAGAGAACCAGGGCACAAUCCAGCCUCAGCUUCACCCAGAAAUCAGCUUCAUUUCUGGGCUAGAAAUGUCACGUAGGUCCCUCUUUGGUACCAGAGUCACGAAAAGCCUCCUGUGGUACCAGGGUCACAAAUAGCCUCAUAUGGUAUAGGUACAAAAAUGGCUAGACUUCCAGAGAACCAGGCCACCAUCCAGCCUCAGCUACACCCAGAAAUCAGCUUCAAUUCUGGGCUAGACUUCCAGAGAACCAGGGCACAAUCCAGCCCCAGGUACACCCAGAAAUCAGCUUCAUUUAUGGGCUAGACUUCCAGAGAACAAGGGCACCAUCCAGCCUCAGGAACACCCGGGAAUGAGCUUCCUUUCUGGGCUAGACUUCCAGAGAACCAGGGCAACGUCCAGCCCUAGUGACACCCGAGAAUGAGCUUCAUUUCUGGGCUAGACUUCCAGAGAACCAGGGCAACGUCCAGCCUCAGCUACACCCAGAAAUCAGCUUCAAUUCUGGGCUAGACUUCCAGAGAACAAGGGCACCAUCUAGCCUCAGGAUCACCCGGGAAUGAGCUUCCUUUCUGGGCUAGACUUCCAGAGAACCAGGGCAACGUCGAGCCCCAGUGACACCCGAGAAUGAGCUUCAUUUCUGGGCUAGACUUCCAGAGAACCAGGGCAAUGUCCAGCCUCAGCUACACCCAGAAAUCAGCUUCAAUUCUGGGCUAGACUUCCAGAGAACAAGGGCACCAUCCAGCCUCAGGAACACCCGGGAAUGAGCUUCAUUUCUGGGCUAGACUUCCAGAGAACCAGGGCACAAUCCAGCCUCAGCAACACACAGAAAUCAGCUUCAUUUCUGGGCUAGAAAUGUCACGUAGGUCCCUCUUUGGUACCAGAGUCACGAAAAGCCUCCUGUGGUACCAGGGUCACAAAUAGCCUCAUAUGGUAUAGGUACACAAAUGGCUAGACUUCCAGAGAACCAGGCCACCAUCCAGCCUCAGGAACACCCGGGAAUGAGCUUCAUUUCUGGGCUAGACUUCCAGAGAACCAGGGCACCAUCCAGCCUCAGCUUCACCAAGAAAUCAGCUUCAUUUCUGUGCUAGAAAUGUCACGUAGGUCCCUCUUUGGUACCAGAGUCACGAAAAGCCUCAUAUGGUAUAGGUACACAAAUGGCUAGACUUCCAGAGAACCAGGCCACCAUCCAGCCUCAGCUACACCCAGAAAUCAGCUUCAAUUCUGGGCUAGACUUCCAGAGAACAAGGGCACCAUCCAGCCUCAGGAACACCCGGGAAUGAGCUUCAUUUCUGGGCUAGACUUCCAGAGAACCAGGGCAACGUCUAGCCCCAGUGACACCCGAGAAGAGAAUGAGCUUCAUUUCUGUGCUAGACUUCCAGAGAACCAGGCCACCAUCAUGCCUCAGUGACACCCAGAAAUCAGCUUCAUUUCUGGGCUAGACUUCCAGAGAACCAGGGCAACAUCCAGCAUCAGCUACACCCGGGAAUGAGCUUCAUUUCUGGGCUAGACUUCCAGAGAACCAGGCCACCAUCCAGCCUCAGCUACACCCAGAAAACAGCUUCAUUUCUGGGCUAGACUUCCAGAGAACCAGGCGACCAUCCAGCCUCAGUGACACCCGGGAAUGAGCUUCAUUUCUGGGCUAGACUUCCAGAGAACCAGGCCACCAUCCAGCCUCAGCUACACCCAGACAUCAGCUUCAUUUUUGGGCUAGACUUCCAGAGGACCAGGGCACAAUCCAGCCUCAGUGACACCCAGAAAUCAGCUUCAUUUCUGGGCUAGAAAUGUCACGUAGGUCCCUCUAUGGUACCAGAGUCACGAAAAGCCUCCUGUGGUACCAGGGUCACAAAUAGCCUCAUAUAGUAUAGGUCACAAAUGGCUAGAAUUCCAGAGAACCAGGGCACCAUCCAGACUCAGGUACACCCGGGAAUGAGCUUCAUUUCUGUACUAGACUUCCAGAGAACCAGGGCACCAUCGAGCCUUAGCUACACCCAGAAAUCAGCUUCAUUUCUGGGCUAGACUUCCAGAGAACCAGGCCACCAUCCAGCCUCAGCUACACCCAGAAAUAAGCUUCAAUUCUGGGCUAGACUUCCAGAGAACCAGGGCACCAUCCAGCCUCAGCAACACCCAGAAAUCAGCUUCAAUUCUGGGCUAGACUUCCAGAGAACAAGGGCACCAUCCAGCCUCAGGAACACCCGGGAAUGAGCUUCAUUUCUGUGCUAGACUUCCAGAGAACCAGGGCAACGUCCAGCCCCAGUGACACCCGAGAAUGAGCUUCAUUUCUGGGCUAGACUUCCAGAGAACCAGGCCACCAUCAUGCCUCAGUGACACACAGAAAAAAAGCUUCAUUUCUGGGCUAGACUUCCAGAGAACCAGGGCACCAUCCAUUCUCAGCUACACCCGGGAAUGAGCUUCAUUUCUGGGCUGGACUUCCAGAGAACCAGGCCACCAUCCAGCCUCAGCUACACCCAGAAAACAGCUUCAUUUCUGGGCUAGACUUCCAGAGAUCCAGGCGACCAUCCAGCCUCAGUGACACCCGGGAAUGAGCUUCAUUUCUGGGCUAGACUUCAAGAGAACCAGGCCACCAUCCAGCCUCAGCUACACCCAGAUAUCAGCUUCAUUUUAGGGCUAGACUUCCAGAGGACCAGGGCACCAUCCAGCCUCAGUGACACCCAGAAAUCAGCUUCAUUUCUGGGCUAGAAAUGUCACGUAGGUCCCUCUUUGGUACCAGACUCGCGAAAAGCCUCCUGUGGUACCAGGGUCACAAAUAGCCUCAUAUGGUAUAGGUACAAAAAUGGCUAGACUUCCAGAGAACCAGGCCACCAUCCAGCCUCAGCUACACCCAGAAAUCAGCUUCAAUUCUGGGCUAGACUUCCAGAGAACCAGGGCACCAUCCAGCCUCAGCUACACACAGAAAUCAGCUUCAAUUCUGGGCUAGACUUCAAGAGAACAAGGGCACCAUCCAGCCUCAGCUACACCCAGAAAUCAGCUUCAAUUCUGGGCUAGACUUCCAGAGAACAAGGGCACCAUCCAGCCUCAGGAACACCCGGGAAUGAGUUUCAUUUCUGGGCUAGACUUCCAGAGAACCAGGGCACCGUCCAGCCUCAGGUACACCCGGGAAUGAGCUCCAUUUCUGGGCUAGACUUCCAGAGAACCAGGGCACCAUCCAGCCUCAGCUACACCCAGAAAUCAGCUUCAAUUCUGGGCUAGACUUCCAGAGAACCAGGGCACCAUCCAGCCUCAGCUACACCC